GAGCGCUUUCUCGAAAGGGUUAUCGGCGCCCCCGCUCGCUCUCUCUCUCUCGAGAGGGUCAUCACUUAUCAGCGCCCCGCCUGUCUCUCUCUCACAUAUCGUCUACUUGUUAUUUGCAAAUUAUUAUUUCUAAUAACUAUUUCUGGGGUUGGCAGUCACCGGCCUGGUUCUUCGAUUAGGGUUUUCCGGACAGGAAUCGCAUCAUCGCAUCCAAGUUUCGGUAAGGAAAAAAGAGGAAUCCAUGGAGGCCGAUUCCUGGAACCGCUUCUCGCUCGCCGCCUCCAGGCGCCGCCAGUCCGCUCACCAAUCGCGAAACGUGGGUUUUGAUGGAACAUUCUGGUUACCAGAUCUGUACCUUGGGUUCGAGGAGAUCGAUGGCGGUGAGGACGACUCGCGCGCGGAGUUUCCCUGCCCGUUUUGCUCUGAGGAUUUCGAUUUCGUGGGGCUUUGCUGCCACAUCGAUGAUGAGCACCCUGUGGAGGCUAAGAGUGGGGUAUGUCCUGUUUGUGCAGCUAGGGUUGGUUUGGACUUGGUUGGGCACAUAACAACACAACAUGGAAGUUUCUUCAAGAUGCAAUAUAGAAGGAGAUUCCGCAGAGGUUCAUCUGGGUCCCAUUCAAUGCUAUCUUUGUUGAGAAGGGAUCUAAGGGAAGGCAAUCUACAAUCUCUUCUUGGAGGAUCUUCCUACAUGGCUGCUCCUUCCUCUGCGGCACCCGAUCCCUUUCUGUCAUCAUUGAUUUACACUUUACCUGUAGCUGAACCAUCAAGAGAUGUACAACCUGAGUCUUUGGAUGAAGGAAGGCUGGUUAACAAGAGUUCAGAUGAAAUGGUUGCAGAGAGCUGCACUUGGGAUGGUGUUAGGCGAUGAGAUGAGAUGGAGGUACUUCUUAGGUGAUGAGAUGAAGAGUCUGAUGGAGAUGUUUCAGCUUCUAUCUUCUGAUUCUUUUAGGCGAUUUCAAGGGCCUCAUGGUGGAACCAUCUCUAUCUGAUGAGGAUCAGAAGGAGAGAGCUCAAAGGAGUGAUUUUGUACAGGAGCUUGUGCUUUCGACAAUAUUUGAUGACACAUUAUGAAGGAGUGCUUACCUCCACGGUGGCCACAGCGGCCGUUGAGAAAACGCCAGGGUCAUCAGUAGGCUGCGUCAUUGUUGUAAUUGUUGCUCAUCGUCUCCUUUGAAUCAGUGGGAGCAUUUAUUUGAUGGUUAUAUAUUUAUUACUGCCUUGAGAGCGAGAGAGGAGCAUGGAAUGUAUUUAUACAUUUAACAUCAGUAUCAAUAUCUGAAGGGACUAUUUCUACAACAACAAUCUAUCUACCUGAGCCAUGUCUGAUUCCUCUUGGAAUUACAGGUUAGAUUGCUGGCAAAGUUCAUUAUGAUGCUAAGGGAUGGUGUCAACAAUUUUGAACUGCCAAGGGCAAUUUUACUCUUUUGCUA